rnacentral:misc_RNA from 1 species
AGAAAAUGUAUUGGAUCUUCAAAUGGGGUACUGACUAACAUGUCAACUAUGGCUUGUCAAAUCCCUAACAUAUUGAUUUUAUAUUUAACACAAAACACCCACUUGGUCCAUUCCACACUUCCAUGAUGCCUGGUACAAAAAACAUUGCAGAAAAAAAGAAACCAAAUUUAGCAAAACAUCCAUCCACCUGCAGAAGAUAACUCACACUAGGAACAGCAUAGACAACAUUUCAUACAAUGAUAAAAUUAUUCUGUAUCCAGAAGGAAUGGCUCAAGCAUCCCCAUGGCCAAUCAAGGCAAGUAGCAUUUUCUCAUAGUCUCCAGAAGUGUCUCCAGAAAUGGCACGAUCCAGAGGAACGCUGUUUCGGCGAUGGUAUUCCUCUUUAAUACGUUGCAUAUCCACCUCUGCCCUGGUGGUAACAACUCUAGUAAGAGCCCAUUCGUCCGUCCCCAGCUUGUUGAUGGCCAGACGCAGAACAUUCUCAAAGUAUUUCUCAGGACAGGUCAAACACUUGAUUGUUGCUCUCAGUAAUUUGAGGAACUCGUCUUUAGGGUCAACCUUCAAAUUCUUGUUGAUGGCAUUCCCAAAUGUGUUGUUGUAGUGAUUUAGUGUUGCAUUAAGUUGUGCCUUGCUCCUAGUAGACAGGAUCCUGAUGAUCUCAUCAUCAUUAUAAGCUUUGUUUGAGAUCUUCUCAUGAAGUAUCUUAGCCUCUGAUUUUGCCAAUGUCAAGUUCACCUCUUGUCCCUCAUAUCGGAAUGCACUCACAAGAGGAACCAACAGCUUGCGGAAGUCUCCAGUUGUAUGAUAUGCAACAUCUUCCUCAAUGGAUCUCUUAUAACGAGCAUGAUAUGCCUGUCUCACCUUAAAUAGCUCAACAGAAGACCUAGUGCAAGCUAUUUCCAUGAGAACCCAAUUGCUUGAAGUGAACUUCUUUGUGGCUUCAUUAGCCAAAUACGCAUCACGCUCAGCAGGAUCCAGAGUCCAUAACAAUACAGACCUCUCAAAGUCACUGGAAAGUUCUUUGUCCAGAGCUUUAAGGAGAUCUUCCCCAUAAGCUUCAGCAUAAGUCUGUCGAAUUAAGUUGCGCUGAGGAGCAUUCCUGUGAGCCAAAAUGGAGAUAAUCAAAGACUCAUUUGUACCCCAUCCUGCAAAACAUGAUCAGAACAUCUUAGAAUCAGUCUGUUCAAUACAGAGGAGCUAAAUGUCACAGAAAAGUUUUUUUUAUUCUUCUUUUGAAGAAUAAACCAAUCACCAUCCCAAAUUAAGACAUCAAUUAACAGAUCAAUUCAUAAAGAUCAUGCUAUUUCACUGAAAACCAGAUAUCUAACAAUGAAUUGAUUUAACAUACACACAGACAAUUGGAUGAUCAUAUUUCAAAACAACUGUAAAAAUGCUAGUUAACAACAACUAUGCCUAUUGACUAUAUGGAUACUUUUUCUUCAUUCAACUCUGAUUGAGACCAGUUCUGCAUCAACAUUCAACCCUCCAUGUUAUUCUAUAAUACUUCUUGUUCUGGGUCAAAGCCAAUAAGCCAUAUAAUAAACAGUAAGCCUAAAGUAAAUGUUUUGCAAUUGGAUCUAUCGGUUCCAAACAGAUUAAAAUUGCCAUCCAAACAGGAAAAUUAAAAAAGACCGAUCACAGCAUGAAAUGUAGCCAUUUCCUUUUUUUAAUUAAUUGGCAAAAAAGAAAUGAAAGAGAAAGGAAAGGAAAGAAAGGCGGAAUAGGAAAGUGAUAUUUCUCAAAAACCAAACUCAAAUCAAAACCCAACAAUGCAGAUAAGCAUACAGAGAUCUAACAGUAAACAGAACAGGUACAAGGUUAUCUAAAUAAUCAUAGACUGCACUUGAUCUAUCGCAGAAUUAUGCAUUCAGCACUAAAAGAAAUUAGAUGAUAUGGAUAUUGGAGGAAAAAAAAAAGAAGCAAAACAUUGAAGACACAGAAGACCUUGGAAAGCUUUGUGGAGCUGCUCAGCAUCCUCAGAUGGAGGUGGAACAUGGGCAGGAACUUUAAGGGUCGCCAUUGUCUUCGACGAGUUUGCUAAGAAUCGAAAACGAUGAACUAAUCUUGCUUGGUCUGCCUGAAUCUUAUCGUUUCA